rnacentral:lncRNA from 1 species
CCGAGUAAGACCGCAAACCACCGCGGGGAUUACCUCUUCGGCCAUUCUCUACCCACUGCAAUCCCCGGCAAACUUCUUUGUCAUCCAUGGAGUCUCGUCAUCGUCGAGUUUUUCUCUUCGCCGAUCCUAUCGCCACGGGACUUCACUUUCCGUCUGUUCUUCCUCCACAUCCAAAACUACCCCAAGGUUUGCCCUGAUUCACUGAAUCUUCUUAAUGCCGGCGAUUCCUUUACCGGAAUAUCACCGUUAACUUCCUGUUAUCUGUUUUCCCGGACCAGGGACUUGAUUGCUACGUUUUAGAAAGUUCUAGGGUGUCCUUUGUAAAAUUUUCAAAACUUUCUUUGUUUCAAAUCAGUGAACAUUUACGAGUUUGUGUUAUGCUCUUGAAUUGAAAGUCUUGAUCUGUGGUCUAGGUUAAAUGUUAGGGAAUGAAUGCUUUGUUUGUACCAUAUAUUGUAUGCAUGUAUUUUAACUAAAAGAUAAAUCAUAAGAUGUAUGUUUCAAGUGGAAAAGUGUGGUAAUUAGUUAAUCCAUCACACAAAUGCUCCUAUCCCUACCGUCAAGACGUUAUCCUCGUCUUGAUUGCUGUUUCUUUAAGUUCCUUGUCGUAUAAGGAUUCCCGUUAGUUCUUGUGUGUCUGCUGCUUAGCCAAAACAUCUUUGCGACUAUGCUUUAGCAUUGGCUAUCAGUUCAGCUGCUAAGCAUCCGCUUUCCUUGAGUCUAGGAUGUUUCUGUGUAACAGCUGUCAGUCGAUACUUUACCAUCGGCUGGUUAGCUAAUACGGUUGUUACCUUUCUAGUAUCGACUAUUGCCGAUACAAGUCUGUUGUUCUAUCCUACAUCGACUACACAUAGUCGAUGUAUCAAAGGUGCACACGCAAUCUUAGGAUUCUUGCCAUCAGCCGACCCAAGCCGAUUUUGGUUGCUUUUCCAUAUCGGUCAAACACGGCCGAUCAAUCAUUAGUUUCCGCUUCCUUAUCUACGUACUCCUAUCAGUCGAUUUAUCGACUGAAUGAUCGGCUAUCUAUAUCUAUCGGUCAUAUAUCCUCAACCACACUCCAAUCGGCUAUACGUCACUCAAUUGUUGUGCUGACGUAGUCAAGUCGAUAUAACCACACUUAGUUACCUAGAAUAACACUUAAACACAUCUUAGUUAAGACCAUUGCUUUAGGAAUCAUCCUUCUGCCAAGGUAAUCGAUGCUUUCAUCGAUCACCUAGGAAACCGAUGCACUCAUCAAUCAGCUAAACCCUCGUUGUUUCCAAUCAGCUCUGUUGUAACCCUCAACAAGUAGCUGAUUCUAGUUAGUUGUUCCCCCUAAAGUUCUAUCUAGGUUUAGUUCAGAUCUUUUUGGUUGAUAUGUGAAUAGUAUGUUGUACGAAUGCUGGUUUGCAAUUGAAUUGUGAAGUAAGGUAGUUUUAUGUACACACUUUGAAUGAAAUGUUGCAUUGCAUGUAGAUACGAUUACUUCUGCAACAGUACCUACGAGAUCUCCCCGGAGUCUAUGGAGGAUGUUCCUGAAGACCAAAUGAACGUCACCAAAGGAUUAUCUGAAGCCCCGAACCAAAGUUCGGAAGAUAUUGACUUACUGACUUCAGACCCAC